GGCUCGGUGGUGAAUGGAUCACGUCCGCUUUCCAUAGAAAGUCCCUUUCGAGCGGAAGGUGCCUGUUCGAAUCAGGCCCGAGCCG